rnacentral:misc_RNA from 1 species
UACGUAGGUGGCAAACGUUAUCCGGAAUUACUGGGCGUAAAGGGUCCGCAGGCGGUCAAUCAAGUCGGACGUGAAAGCGCGCGGCUCAACUGCGCGAGGCCGUUCGAAACUGAUUGACUUGAAUCCGGCAGAGGUCGGUAGAAUUCCCGGUGUAGUGGUGGAAUGCGUAGAGAUCGGGAGGAAUACCAAGAGCGAAGGCAGCCGGCUGGGCCGAGAUUGACGCUGAGGGACGAAGGCGUGGGGAGCGAACAGG